rnacentral:rRNA from 1 species
UACGGGGGGGGCAAGCGUUGUUCGGAAUUACUGGGCGUAAAGGGCUCGUAGGCGGCCAACUAAGCCCGACGUGAAAUCCCAAGGCUUAACCUUGGAACUGCGUCGGAUACUGGAUGGCUUGAAUUCGGGAGAGGGAUGCAGAAUUCCAGGUGUAGCGGUGAAAUGCGUAGAUAUCUGGAGGAAUACCGGUGGCGAAGGCGGCAUCCUGGACCGACAUUGACGCUGAGGAGCGAAAGCUAGGGGAGCAAACGGG